ACAUUUUGAGAAUUUUCCAGCAUUAUGACGUCACGGGAAUUCCAUUGUGAAGGUAUACGUAUGACUGAAGAUACUUGCGAAUCAGUACUGUUCGGGAAUUGCGUUGUGAUGGUGCGGAGAAGAUGAGUCCGUGAUAUCUGUCAUGGCGUCUGGAGGGUGUGAAUGUGAGAAGAGAACUUGUGUGAUAGCGGGGGAGAACUGAUAGUAGCAGAGAUCUGAUAGUUGGAAACAACGCUUUGGUUUGUAAAUUUCUCGAUGUAAUUUUAUGCUGUUGAAUUACUGUUCUUGAUUCGUGCUGAAUUGUAUUUACGUUCCACGAAUAUUGCUUAUUCUAUUGUAACUUUCCAGUGUGUUGUAAAAUAAAAUAAAAUAUAUUGUUUUGCUUCUUUAUUUGAACCUAUUAUUCCUCUCUUCGUAUAAUGUGUGUAUUCAUGUACAGACGUCAUGGGGAAAGGAGUCUUAAGGGUUGCGAAUGCCACUUCGUCUCGUCGGCCAUUAUGAAGAAUGUGACGUAGUAUUUGAGUCUGGAAGUGCUUAAGGAGACUGGACUCCUGAAAUAUCUGGUGGUUCGUCAGAAGUACGUGCGCACUCAUUAUCAGGACCAGUAUAGCAUGCAGCAAGAUGUUGUGCAGUACUGAUCUACGUGGCCCAGCUUAAGAUGUUGAGGAGCUCCCUAAAACUGUUGAUAGUGCAGUACUUACUUGGAUGCAGGCAGUAUCCAGUGAAGGUAAAGUACAUUGUAAAGCUGCAUUUUUUGAUGGUCCAAUAUGAACUUCAAGUAUUUUUAUUUAUUUCAUGGCCAGAGAACAGUAAAAAAAAUUCUGGUAGCAGUGGAUAAUAUUUGAAGUCUCCGUUGUCAUUUGUGUAAGAUAAACUGUCUGCAGAAAAUCUGGAAUCAAAAUGAUACAUUGCUACUUACUGCAGAGAGUGGUUGGAUCUUGAGCAAAAUUAUGGCGAGACAAGAUGGUAAACAUAUGAACAAAUUAAUCCAUUUGGUGACUUCACGUAUACCCAUUGUAUCUUCUGUUUGCAAAGUCAUUCACUUUGCAAUAUUUCUUGAGUCAAUUCUAGUGCAUGAAUCUUGCAAAAGAAUGCCUCGUAGCACACGUAAGUAAUGCGUUGUAAGACUGACCCAAUACUUCCUUGAUAUUGAAUGAGCAUGAACUUAAAACUUUGACUUACAGUGAUCGGGUUAUCAGAAUUAGAUGUAUUCUCUACCUUACACAGGUUACUUUCUUCCCUAAAAUAUGGAAAGAAGUAAAAAUGAAAAAUUGAAUAUUUGAAAGAAAAGAUGUCUUCGCUACCUUAUUUUGUCAGACCUGCAGCUGUUGACACGCUUGGUAAGUCACUGUACAUAUAGCGUGAACACAUUUUUUAGUAUGCUUGGUUUCACUUUAACCAAUUAAAUGUAUGGAGCUACAAAUUGAAACAAUAUUACCACUUAAACUUACUAUGUACAUAGUUAAUAGAUAUCCACAAAAAAAAUAAACUUGUGGAUCUUCCUUGUGAACAUACAGUGGUGGACCUAUACAGAGGAGGGAUUAAAUGUAUGUGCUUCAAUAACUAUGAACAGUAUUAGUAUUUUGGCUGGACUUCCUGUCAAAUAUCCAAAACCAAAGGCGCUCUUUUACACAGCACCCAGGAUUUAGAUACGCUGUAUUUCAUUAGUGCUUAGUGGGACACUAUCAGAUUGCACUGCAAGUUGAGGUGGUACUCUGUGCCAGUCACUGAACAAAGGGUUAGCUCCAUGUAAGUUGGGCAUUAGUGUGUUGGAGAUAAGGUGUCAGUUUUUUACUAUCCAGUCAGUAAGUACUACUGCCUUACCCUUGUUUGCAUGGCCAAAACAUUGCUGUGUUAUGAGGGAGGGGCAGACUAAAUUGAGCUAUACGGAAGUAAGCCAACAUUAUCUGUACUUGUUUUUGUCAUGGUUCCUUAAUUUAAGAGUGAUGAGCAUUCCUUAGAUCACUAUAAAUGCAGGUCGUGUACUGGCAGUGAAAGACAGCCAGGAUUGCCUAUGUUGUGUGCUAUGAAAGAGGUAAGUUCCAUGUAAGAAUAAGUAACAAAGCACUAUUUGUAACUGAAAAAUUGAAAACCAUGUUUGGGCUGUAAAACAAAAUUAUUUUUGAUGAGCUGGAGUGCCCAUUACAAAUUAUUACAUUUUAGCACAUCAUACAACAAAACACAGACCAUCAGAUGAUCACUAAAAACAAUCUCUGUGCAUUUUCUGAAAGUACAGUAAUUGUGUUGUACAGAUGUUUAACUGGUGACACUCAUUAGUCAUUAAAUACUUUAAAGUGAUUACUCGCAGGACUUCCUUAAGUCAGAAAUUACGUUGUACCAAACCAUGCAAUAUACUUUGAAGGGCUCACCUUGUUUAGAAUGUACAAAAAAAUUGAACCAAUGCAUUGAGAACUUCACUGGUUAGUAAGUUCCCUUUCAUAGUAUUUGGUGAAUACAAUAACUUGUUUAGUCCCCUUCUAUUUGCUUGAUAUCCUUGCUGAGAUCUUGAGUGAUUGCUUGUAAGCCAUUGUGAUGUGAAAUGUCAAUCAGUAUAAUGAACCACAUAACAGUUGGGGAAACACUGCUUAACAUUUAAGGGGUGACACUGUUUGAAUUGGAUUUCUCUAUGGUAAGGAAAAGGUGGAGAUAAUGUUGAAUUAUAAAGAAUUUUUGUAAUUGUAUACUACUAGCAACUGUCAUCGUCCUGAGAGAUCUUAAUAUAAAUUGUUGAAUGAUUUGUCUGCAAAUUUAAAUGCUUUACAAACUUUGUAAUAGUUUGCAUGGUUGAAGCAGGCUUCAACUGGUGUUCAAAAUGUCUGAGUCUCUGCAUUUUGAUUUGAAGUUGGGGGAGGGAGUGCAAAGACAUAGUAUAGAGCCUGUAAUGAAUUGGAAGAAGUUAUUGCUACCUUUAUCUGCUUAGGCAUAGUCCAUACCAAUUCAGGCAGGCUAGGACAAAAUCAUGCCUUUGUCAGAUGUUAUUGAAUUUAGCGUAUGUUAAAAUGGACUAAAUAAGGAACUUACUUUUUUGUUUUCUCCCAAACAAAAUCUGCUCUGAGAUAAGCCCUCCAAAGAUGAUGCUGCAUGUACCACUUUGAAGAUGUGAAUUUUGGAAAAAUUUUAAACUGGCAUAUAUCUGG